rnacentral:rRNA from 1 species
ACGGGGCGCAGCAGGCGCGAAAACUCUACAAUGCAGGCAACGGCGAUAGGGGAACAUCGAGUGAUCCUCAUAUUGGNGGUCUGUCCACCCGCCUNAAAAGCGGGUGUUAGCAAGGGCCGGGCAAGACCGGUGCCAGCCGCCGCGGUAAUAACGGCGGC